rnacentral:lncRNA from 1 species
AUUGGAUGAAGGGGGGGGUGUAGGUAUGAUGAAGGAGGGGUCGGUCAUAGCUGGAUGGCUGCUGAUGUAGAACGAGAAAAAUGGAUUCUCUUGGAAGAAUCCAGGCCUUGUACUGCUGCAUGUGUCUUUCUUGUCUUUUGAAUGAAAACUCCAGGUUAGCAGCUGCCUUAGCUACUGAUUUUAAAGGGCCCUCUUUCUCUCCCUGCCAAUCCCUGACCCCAACUCCUUGUGUUUCUCUAAUCAACCCGCCCCUUCAUUUGAAGCCCUAGUGUUAAUAGGGGUUGACUCUGGAACCUCAAGGCUCCUGCUGAAGCAGCUACGUUAAUUUUCAACUUUCACCUAGAGCUGUGUGACUGUAAAAUAGCCACCCACUAGACCUGCUUUAUCAGCUACAGCCGAGACACAAUUAAUUAACUUUAUGCAGCCUCUUGCCACACAAGCUGCUUAACUCCUAGCCCAUUGUAGUUCUGGUUUACUUAGCAGAUAGGGUCUAAGAGCCUGGAACUGUUUACCUCCCUCUGGAGGGGCUGUCCUGGGCAGAUGAAUUCAUUAGUUGGUGUUUGCCUAGCAGCAGGAAACCGAAAAAAAGCAUUAGGGCCUGCUGGAGAAGCCCCCCAAAUCUCAGGACCCCAGCCCCUGGAGCCAGCAAGAGCCUCAGAGCCACUGGGUUCCAGCUCACAGCCCGGCUGUACACAGAAUGAGCCACCUUCCCAGACCAGCCUCAAAAGGACCCACUCCUGGAAACUUUCCUGGCCCGGUGAUAUGGACCCACAUGCUGUCCACGCUCUUCCCCUAUACCCUGGAUGCCUCUCCUCUCUUUCUGUGUGUCAGGUCCGGUGCUAAAUGUCUUGUCUGCAUUAUUUCACUGAAAUCUCACCACAGCCCCAUAACCUGAUGACUAUUAUUAUCCCCAGAGAGAAGGAGAUAACGACUUGCCCGAUGUCACCGAGCAUCAUAGCUGAGGAGCCAGGAAUCUAACAGUUGCAAUAACAGCACUGGUAAACACUGCCCUCUUGGCUUCAGGGAGCACCUCUCUCCAUUCACUCUAUGUACAUUUCGGGUUGGGGGUGAGGAGGCAGGGAGGCUGUGCUCCAGCAUCUAACAGAACACUUGACAUACGGGAGGCCUCCAAAAGGUUUGUUGACCAAAGAGGGCGGCAGGGAGGGCUCUCACUAGCAGACAUUCUUUGUGUGCUUGUGGGUCUCAGACUUCAAGCUACAUCAGGAUCCCCUGUGGGGGAAACUGUUAAAAUACAGGUGUCCCCUCC